rnacentral:tRNA from 2 species
GGGGCGGUGGCGGAACAGGCAGACGCAGUGGACUUAAAAUCCACCGGUGCGGGAGCACCUUGAGGGUUCGAGUCCCUCCCGCCCUA